rnacentral:rRNA from 1 species
CCUACGGGUGGCAGCAGUGGGGAAUAUUGGGCAAUGGAGGCAACUCUGACCCAGCAACGCCGCGUGAAUGAUGAAGGUCUUCGGAUUGUAAAGUUCUGUGAUGGGGGAUGAACACAAUGACGGUACCCCAAUAGCAAGCCACGGCUAACUACGUGCCAGCAGCCGCGGUAAUACGUAGGUGGCAAGCGUUAUCCGGAAUGACUGGGCGUAAAGGGUGCGUAGGUGGUUUAGUAAGUUGGCGGUGUAAUUCCGGGGCUCAACCUCGGCGCUACCGCCAAAACUAUUAGACUAGAGUGCAGGAGGGGUAAGUGGAACUACAGGGGUAGCGGUAAAAUGCGUAAAUAUAUGUAAGAACACCAGUGGCGAAGGCGGCUUGCUGGGUCGAUACUGACAUUGAGGCACGAAAGCGUGGGGAGCAAACAGGAUUAGAUACCCGAGUAGUC